AUUGAACGCUGGCGGCAUGCCUUACACAUGCAAGUCGAACGGCAGCACGGGAGCAAUCCUGGUGGCGAGUGGCGAACGGGUGAGUAAUAUAUCGGAACGUGCCCAGUCGUGGGGAUAACGUAGCGAAAGCUACGCUAAUACCGCAUACGAUCUAUGGAUGAAAGCGGGGGAUCGCAAGACCUCGCGCGAUUGGAGCGGCCGAUAUCAGAUUAGGUAGUUGGUGAGGUAAAGGGUUCACCAAGCCGACGAUCUGUAGCUGGUCUGAGAGGACGACCAGCCACACUGGGACUGAGACACGGCCCAC
rnacentral:rRNA from 1 species